GGAUGAACGCUGGCGGCGUGCCUACUCCAUGCAAGUCGAGCGAACAGACGAGGAGCUUGCUCCUCUGACGUUAGCGGCGGACGGGUGAGUAACACGUGGAUAACCUACCUAUAAGACUGGGAUAACUUCGGGAAACCGGAGCUAAUACCGGAUAACAUGUUGAACCGCAUGGUUCAACAGUGAAAGACGGUCUUGCUGUCACUUAUAGAUGGAUCCGCGCCGCAUUAGCUAGUUGGUAAGGUAACGGCUUACCAAGGCAACGAUGCGUAGCCGACCUGAGAGGGUGAUCGGCCACACUGGAACUGAGACACGGUCCAGACUCCUACGGGAGGCAGCAGUAGGGAAUCUUCCGCAAUGGGCGAAAGCCUGACGGAGCAACGCCGCGUGAGUGAAGAAGGUCUUCGGAUCGUAAAACUCUGUUAUUAGGGAAGAACAAAUGUGUAAGUAACUAUGCACGUCUUGACGGUACCUAAUCAGAAAGCCACGGCUAACUACGUG
rnacentral:rRNA from 1 species